CUGUGAUGAAUGUGGCUGCAUAAUCAUCCUGUUCAAGAGGUUUUAUGUAUACAUUUACAGAAUUACAAUCAUGGGAAUAUUGGAGCCAGAAUAAUAGGAUCAAAAAUUGGGGAAGCAAAUAAGAAAAAAAUUCUGUUCUUGUGAAAGACUUAAUGAGGGAAAAAGCAGAGGAUGGAAAGCCCUAAUCUGACCUUCAAACAAAAAAGUCCUUUGAAAAUAAUGAAGCCAUCUGACUGGUAAUCAAGAAGAGCUAUCAGAGAAGUCAUAGUUUCUUCAGAAACAAACAAUAGAAGAAAAAAGUUAAUUUGAUGAAAUUCAAGCAAUCUGGCUCCUUGACUUGACGAAGAGUUUAAAGGCUGGAUGUGAAUGAGUAUAAUUGCUUCCCACUGUAACUCCC